rnacentral:rRNA from 1 species
GAUGAACGCUGGCGGCGUGCCUAAUACAUGCCAGUCGAGCGAACGGACGAGAAGCUUGCUUCUCUGAUGUUAGCGGCGGACGGGUGAGUAACACGUGGAUACCUACCUAUAAGACUGGGAUAACUUCGGGAAACCGUAGCUAAUACCGGAUAAUAUUUUGAACCGCAUGGUUCAAAAGUGAAAGACGGUCUUGCUGUCACUUAUAGAUGGAUCCGCGCUGCAUUAGCUAGUUGGUAAGGUAACGGCUUACCAAGGCAACGAUGCAUAGCCGACCUGAGAGGGUGAUCGGCCACACUGGAACUGAGACACGGUCCAGACUCCUACGGGAGGCAGCAGUAGGGAAUCUUCCGCAAUGGGCGAAAGCCUGACGGAGCAACGCCGCGUGAGUGAUGAAGGUCUUCGGAUCGUAAAACUCUGUUAUUAGGGAAGAACAUAUGUGUAAGUAACUGUGCACAUCUUGACGGUACCUAACCAGAAAGCCACGGCUAACUACGUG